UAGAGUUUGAUCAUGGCUCAGAUUGAACGCUGGCGGCAGGCCUAACACAUGCAAGUCGAGCGGUAACAGAAAAGAAGCUUGCUUCUUUUGCUGACGAGCGGCGGACGGGUGAGUAAUGCCUGGGAAUAUACCCUGAUGUGGGGGAUAACUAUUGGAAACGAUAGCUAAUACCGCAUAAUCUCUUCGGAGCAAAGAGGGGGACCUUCGGGCCUCUCGCGUCAGGAUUAGCCCAGGUGGGAUUAGCUAGUUGGUGGGGUAAUGGCUCACCAAGGCGACGAUCCCUAGCUGGUCUGAGAGGAUGAUCAGCCACACUGGAACUGAGACACGGUCCAGACUCCUACGGGAGGCAGCAGUGGGGAAUAUUGCACAAUGGGGGAAACCCUGAUGCAGCCAUGCCGCGUGUAUGAAGAAGGCCUUCGGGUUGUAAAGUACUUUCAGUUGUGAGGAAGGCGUUGGAGUUAAUAGCUUUAGCGUUUGACGUUAGCAACAGAAGAAGCACCGGCUAACUCCGUGCCAGCAGCCGCGGUAAUACGGAGGGUGCGAGCGUUAAUCGGAAUUACUGGGCGUAAAGCGCAUGCAGGCGGUCUGUUAAGCAAGAUGUGAAAGCCCGGGGCUCAACCUCGGAACAGCAUUUUGAACUGGCAGACUAGAGUCCUGUGAGGGGGGUAGAAUUUCA
rnacentral:rRNA from 1 species